ACAGGGCGUUUACGGAACCCGAAGGCUAAUGGGGAAACAAUGGGGCGGUGAGACCGGGAGCAAGCGGAGAGACGCUCAGGAGAGGGCGACCAGGCAGCACGGGACGGGUGGGAUGAAAGAGCGGAAAGCUGCAGUAGACCGAGGCGACAGGGAGACAGGGAACGGAAGCCUUGAAGGCAGGUGUGAUGGAAGCAAAAAGAACACACCUCGGAGCAGCACAGGACCCGCCGUGCCAGACUAGACUCAGGGAAGGAAGAGGCAGCUGAAGGGGGUGUCAAACGGGACAGGAAACACAUAACUUCACUGGAAUUCGAAAAGGGAAGUAGUAGGAUGAUGUCAACAGAGAUUAGCUUGACCCUACAAGGCUGAUUGCGGAGAUGAUUAAAGGUCCAGACCAUAGAAGGAAGUGAGAAGGCUGGUAAAUGGAGAAGUCCCUUUCAAAGAAUUGAGACAUCACUACCUGCCAUCUCGCCGGGUUUAGUUUUUCUUCCCUUUGGCCUUUUUUCUCUUGGGUAAACCAGAUUUUCAGGGAAAGGAGACACUGACCUGUAGACAUUUUAGAGGAAUUACUGUAACCUGUGAAUCUGUUCUAUGAGAUCCAUAUCUUUAACAGAGCCUUUAAAAUGUAAUAGAGCCUCACAUUAAACUCAGGUUUAGGGAUAAAUUUUAAAAUCUCUAUGAAUGUUAAACUACCGUAAUAGUCCUACGUAAUCUUGCUCCUUUCAAAUGAAAUGCAAACAUACUCCAAAAGUCUGUGUACACCAUCUGCCAGCCAAAUCCAAAAUUCGUGCUUCAAUCUGGUGCCUCUCAGAAGAGGCAAAGCUAAUAGUUAACAUUUUAUGUAUCAUAUCACAGAUUUUGUGGUCUCCUCCCAUUGCCUCCCCCCCUUUUUUUCACUAUGGCUGGUGAAAUUCUGCAGCACCAUGCUUUGCCAAGAACAUACAGUCUUAAACCAGCAGGCUUUAUCUUUGUCAAGCCAGUCCCAAGUUUCACAAAACAGUAAUGAUUUCCUUCGGUGCAUCUGCAGUCCAUCUGCAGUCUGGUGCCCAGUUUGCUGCCCCCCAUCCAUAGUGCAGUAUGGUUACCCAAUACUCGAAGACAGGUUGUGCGCCAUCCUUGCCACCCUUCUAUAGGUUCCACUGAGUGAAUUACCAGUUGACCUGACCGGCUACACCAAUAAACCUCCUGCUGAAGUAAGUCAACAUUAGCAAGGCAUUUAGCUGACAACAGCUAAAUAUUUCAACCUUAGGAAAAAUGUAGAAGUUCUUCCUAAGUACACAACAGGAAACUAUUUUUUGCACUACUAUGAAUGACAUUAUAGGAUAAUAUUACCACUGUACUUUUUUCAAGGAUCAUUUUAUAAGUUUCUAAAUAAGUAAUCAGUGAUGAUUAUAGAAGUUUAUGUACAAUGGUGAACUGAAAAAUGUGAAGAAAUGUAGAAGAUGAUGGGGAAGUAUUCUAAGGACAGGAAUUAUUGACCAGCCUGCCCUGUCCUAUAUACUUAAGUUUUCUGUGUGUUCUACUUUCCUUGGUCUGUUCAAGAAAUAUCUUUACUUGUCCCACAGAUGCUUCAAGCUCACUAUAGCCAAAAAUGACUUCUCUUGUCCUUGCCCAUUCCGUAUGCCUAAUCCAUGCGGAUCUUCUUUGUUCCUUAUUCCAGGGAUGGCCUUAACCACCUGCCCAGAAGUCCAAGGCAGAAAACCGUGACUCAUGCUUAGCCCUCCUUCUCUCUCAUUUCUCUUACCUUGCCUAAACUGGUUAUAUCCGUCAAACCCAUUUUCUUUCUAAUACCACAUCUGUUGCCUUAGUUCUAGCCUUUAUGAUUUAUGAUCCCUUCCCCGUGUAGACUGUUCUAAUAACUUCUUAGCUGAUUUCCCUGUCUCUCAUACCUCGACUCUCCAACCCAGAUCUUUCUGAACCUAAAAUGUAUUUAUCUUUUCUUUGCAUUAAAACUCUUCGGUAGCACCCCAAUCAAUACUCUAGAGGGUAAAAUUUAGGACUCUCAGCUUGCCAUAUAAAGCCUUUCAUGAUCUAGCCCCUACCUGAGUAUAGUUUGUUGAGCCUUAUCUCUCUCCAGCCUCUACAUGCAUUCCCACCAGUGUCACACUACUGGGUAUGCCAUGCUGUUUCACACCCUCAUAAGUAGUCAGUGGUUUAUUUCUGUUACUCAUGUAGUAUCAUAUACAUCCUCCUACUAAUUAUUUUUGUGAUUGUUUUAUUGUGCUAGUGUGAAGCACAGAGAUAUCUUCUUGUUAAUAUUGUGGCUGCUCUGGGGCGCCUGGGUGGCUCAGUCGUUAAGCGACUGCCUUUGGCUCAGGGCGUGAUCCCAGGGUCCUGGGAACAAGCCCUGCAUUGGGCUCCCUGCUCUGCUG